rnacentral:rRNA from 1 species
AACGAACGCUGGCGGCAUGCCUAACACAUGCAAGUCGAACGAGACCUUCGGGUCUAGUGGCGCACGGGUGCGUCACGCGUGGGAACCUGCCCUUAGGUUCGGAAUAACUCCCCGAAAGGGGUGCUAAUACCGGAUAAUGUCUUCGGACCAAAGAUUUAUCGCCUUUGGAUGGGCCCGCGUUGGAUUAGCUAGUUGGUAGGGUAAAAGCCUACCAAGGCGACGAUCCAUAGCUGGUCUGAGAGGAUGAUAAGCCACACUGGGACUGAGACACGGCCCAGACUCCUACGGGAGGCAGCAGUGGGGAAUAUUGGACAAUGGGCGAAAGCCUGAUCCAGCAAUGCCGCGUGAGUGAUGAAGGCCUUAGGGUUGUAAAGCUCUUUUACCCGGGAUGAUAAUGACAGUACCGGGAGAAUAAGCUCCGGCUAACUCCGUG